AUGAAAGAGUGGGACGUGAGAAGCCCAGCCAUGACUGGAUACUGCAGUGCAGUGAGGAAGCUGGAGAAGAAGUUCGAGGGGUUGGAGCUCCAUCAUAUACCCCGACUGAAAAAUCAAGCAGCUGAUGAUCUAGCAAAGAUAGGUUCCAAGAGAGAAGCCAUUCCGAGUGGUGUGUUCUUGGAGCAUAUACACACUCCGUCAGUCAAAGAAGAUCCUUUCACCGAAGAAACUCCGCAGCCCAAGAGUGCCACAGAUCCGACUGAAGUUGAAGUCCCAGCGGUGGUCGACUUGAUCAUGGAGGUUUUGGUAGUCAUUCCCGACUGGACGAUUCCGUAUGUCGCAUAUAUCUUGAGGAAA
rnacentral:rRNA from 1 species